UCUCUCUCUCUCUCUCUCUCUCUCUCUCUCUCGAUCUCGAUCUGAGAGGAAACGAGGCAGCCACAGCCUCCUGCACCCCCUUCUCUCUCGCCGCUGCUGCUCCCCAACCACCGUGCUGUGACGUUGCUUCCCCAAUUGGUCGCUGUCUCAUCUCCCCCGACCUCAAUACCGUCCUGGGCGGUGCAGCGCCGCCUCUGCCUCCACCCCCACUGGGCAAGGAGCUCGAGGUGUUUGGGGGAUUCUUGUCCCUGAUGUUAAUUAGGGUGACUAUUUCUGUUUGGGUAAUCCGGGGGACGAAUUUGAUGCUUGUGUUAAAUUCUUGUUGUAUCAUUUUUUGUGCCCAUUAAAUACAUUUACCAUUUUAUGACUUGAAUUUGCGGCCAGAGAGCGUUGAUUUUACCGAAUACAGAUAAGGAGAACUUUAACCUUGCGCCCACCUAUGGCAAUGUUGCCCUCUUUAUAUUCUCCCUCGCUCAUCAGCAGCAGCGAUGGUGGCGUCAUUGUCGGCCUUGCAGCAUGUGGCAUAAUCAUGUCCAUUGCCUACUCUGGGGCAGAUCUGAUCUAAGACUUCAAGUGCGGCUACCUCACCCUCUCUUCACCAUGUGCAGUGUUCAUCUCGCAGGUUCCAAGUUGGUUAAUGUUGAUUUUUGCUCAUGCACAACCCAUCAUAGGAAUUAGUAGGAUCAUCUUCGAUGGAUGUAAGGACUGCAACAGGUUUCUUUCAGCAGCCUCGGGUUGUUAAGAAGAGGGUCAGGAUUGCUCUGGGCAGAUGCUUAAAUUCCUGGAUGUAAACGCACACUUGUCUCCUACACAGGCCAAAAUACUAUUGGAGAUAAGGAUACCCGCGCUGCUGCUGUUGCGUUUGGUUAGGGAGGGGCUUCUUCGUCUGCUUUGCCGUGCGGUGGCUGUGCGGCUGCUUGUUCCUUCUUUGCUAGGCAGGGAUCGGCUUUGGUGGUGGCAGACGCUGGCAAGUCAUGGGGUUAGAGCAUAGGAAGCUGACAUGGCAUUUGAAACUUACGUGGUCAUUGAAGGGCUUGGCAACAGUGCUUACAGAGUCUGGGAAAGAAAAUAUGGAGGAAUAAGCUACGAUAAUUUUGGUGAAGAACUUUCUUUCCCUAUGUUGUGAAGAGUUUGGUCCUCUGAUAGAUUUGUGUUCUUAGAAAAUGCGAGGAUGAUGACAAUUAUUGUGCUACUGCUAUCUUCUUCAGCUCCUCGUGCUUCCCAAGGUCGCAGGUGUUAGUGGAGAUCGAAGUUCGAAGGAGGCUGCUCGCGAGACGGCUGGGCUUCCUUCAAUAGUGGUGCUAACAUUUUGAAUAAUAAACCGGGAGCUGACAAGCGGUCUGAAUUUCUGCUAGGAUUUUUUUACCUUACCGCUUUGUAGCCCCUGUCGAGGAAUGUAUGUAGUGGAUCAUGCACUACUGGAAGUUGAUCGUUGGGUGAAGGAAGAUGGAUGGUCUUACCGCUCUGUUCUUCUUGCUAAGUGGAUUACGACUUCCUUGCUCCCCUUUAUGGACAAGCAUUCUCAUCUGCUGGUCACUUGCCUAAGAUACAAUAUGCUAAUGCUAUCUUGGUUCUGUUUCGUUUGCUCUUGCAGAAAAUAAGUGAAAUGUGCAGACCGACCACAUGGGCAGCCGGUCUUGCAACUCCCAAUGCUCUCAACCCCCCGCUAACCCUCUCUCAUUUUGAUCUAGCCGACUAAGAUUUAUUAAGUACUGCAACCAAACCAUAAUUUGGACACCAAAACCUGAAUGAUAAGUAACAUGUAGAUAUACCAUGUGCUGCAGAUGUCAAUCGUGGAUGCGGAAAAUACCUCGGGAGUAGAGUCAAUUAGAACUGUGGAUUGAUGUAUUUAUUCCUUUGUAUUAUUAAAAACAACCUUUAUAUAUAAGCACAAUGACUUCCACCAUGGCUUUGACAGGGACAGUCAAGUGUUUUGAUUUAUUGCUGCUAUAUUCAAAUUUAUCGGAUGCCCAGUAAAGCGUUGCAUGUGCAAGCAAUUCUUGCUGUUCCAUGCAGAAUAGCUUGGUUCGUAAAUGCAAACUGAUUAACCAUAUGAUUGCAUUGGCUGUGUAUUAGGAUUCGUUCUGCCUUCUUCUUUUUUAUAUUGUCCUCUAUUUGUUGUGCCUAAUCUUUAUGUCCUCAUUGUUUUUGUUACAUUUUAUAACUCUAGGAUCUACUCGGCACGAAUGAAAUUACUAACAUGCCUCUUCUUUUUACUAAUGAUUGAAACUCAGGACAAACGCUACUGGCAAGGGGGCUUGCUGAUAUCCCCGGAGAGCAAGAAGAGCACCACCAUCUGCUCCAACCCGCCGACUGGUAGAUCCGUUUUGGUUCUUAACAGAAUCAACGAGAGACCCCUCCGAGCACAAGGCUAAUUACCAAGAUUAUGAUAUGCUCAAGGUCAGGUUUGCAAAGAGUGAUCGACACACCCAUUGUCGCAUCAUGGUAGGAACCGACAAGAGAGCCACCGUAACAACCAACUGGUCUGAGUUCCGCCGCCUUGCAAAAAUCCAUGAAGGAGACAUCUGUGCCUUUCUUUUUCAAGGUCACCACAGAGCAACACCUGGUUCUCAUCAUGCAUUGCCUUUAGAUGAACCAUUGAUAGCAACAGAAGUCGUAUCUAGAUAUCAUCUAGCAUUCUAAGGACUACUAAUCAAGCUCUGUAAUAGGAUGAAGCCUUCCUCUGUUUUUCGACGAUGCUAUUUGUUGCUUUUGAACAGCUACCACCUAUGCUUUUAUCUAUAUAACCUCUGUUGUUGUUCCUCA